rnacentral:tRNA from 1 species
GUUGUGGCUCAGAGGUAGAGCACUUGCCUAGCAUGCCUGAGGCACUGUGUUUGAUCCUCAGCACGACA